AGAGAAAAAAAAAUCACAGAGAGGGCUUUUCUGAAUACUAAAGAGGCUUUAGUCAAACGGUGUCAAGGAGGUUCUCAUGAAAAGGUCAGGGGUCUCAAAAACUGCUGCUCGUCACUUUUGUCAGCUCUUCCCACAAACCAGCUUCCCUGUGCCUCAGCCAGAGUGGAUGACUUCAAAAUUUAAAAAGCUGGUCUCCUAGAAAAAGGGGAAAGUGCCAUCUGCUGGAGAAGAGAUGAAAUUCAGAGAAUGCUGAGAACUCAGGUAGCAGUAAGUUGAUGCAUCAUCUCCUGGAACGAAGUCUAACUGCAGAGAUCUGCAAGCGAGUUCUCUCAACUGUUGAUGCUAACUUGAAGCUAAAAAGUGAGUGAUGUCUAGAAGGAUAAAUACAUUAUUGUUGUCAGAAAAAUGCAGGUGGAAUGACUAUUUGUUUCCCCAGCCAUAAAAUGAGGAAGAUUGAGUAGAUGGCCUAUGAGAUCCUUUUCAGCACCAGAUCUAUAAUCUCUAAAGCCAGAUCUUAAGUUUAUGAAGCUGUUCAUCUAACAAGUCAUUACUGUGUUCUGUGCUGGUGAAUAAAGAUAAAA